rnacentral:rRNA from 1 species
UGGGGAAUUGUUCGCAAUGGGCGCAAGCCUGACGACGCAACGCCGCGUGGAGGAUGAAGGUCUUCGGAUUGUAAACUCCUGUUGAUUGGGACGAAUGUCCCUGGGGCUAACACCACCAGGGAGUGACGGUACCGAUUGAGGAAGCCCCGGCUAACUCUGUGCCAGCAGCCGCGGUAAUACAGAGGGGGCGAGCGUUGUUCGGAAUUACUGGGCGUAAAGGGCGCGUAGGUGGCCACCUAAGUCAGACGUGAAAUCCCUCGGCUCAACCGGGGAACUGCGUCUGAUACUGGGUGGCUUGAAUCCGGGAGAGGGAUGUGGAAUUCCAGGUGUAGCGGUGAAAUGCGUAGAUAUCUGGAGGAACACCGGUGGCGAAGGCGGCAUCCUGGACCGGUAUUGACGCUGAGGCGCGAAAGCCAGGGGAGCAAACGGG